rfam:Canis lupus familiaris chromosome 30, whole genome shotgun sequence.
GGCUGUAAGGGCAAUCUGGGUGCGGCAUCUGUUACCCCUCUAGUCGCCAGGGUUCAUCUGGCUGGUCUGGCUGACUAGGCGAGUGUCCCCUUCCUCACUGCUCUGUGUGUGUUCCUCCUAAAGCAAUGCACUGGUCAAAGAGGACGACCUUCCCCAAUGGAAGACCAUUCUUCGGUCAAGGUAGCUGCGCUCCCCUACUAGAACCUCCAAACAAGCUCUCAAGGUCCAGUUGUAGGAGGACACAGGGUAGUCAAGUUUCCAAGGCUCUGGACACAUCCAAAUGAGGGGCUGCACAUGGCAUGAAUUUUUAU